AUAUCAAUAAGCGGAGGAAAAGAAACUAACAAGGAUUCCCUCAGUAACGGCGAGUGAAGCGGGAAGAGCUCAAAUUUAAAAUCUGGCUUUAUGCCCGAGUUGUAUUCUAUAGAAGUGUUUUCCUUUGAGUACCGAGAUACAAGUCUUCUGGAAAGAAGCAUCAUAGAGGGUGAGAAUCCCGUCCAUGAUCUCGAGUGGCUUAAUUUUGUGAUACACUUUCUACGAGUCAGGUUGUUUGGGAAUGCAGCCUAAAAUGGGUGGUAAAUUUCAUCUAAAGCUAAAUACCGGCCAGAGACCGAUAGCGCACAAGUAGAGUGAUCGAAAGAUGAAAAGCACUUUGAAAAGAGGGUUAAAUAGCACGUGAAAUUGUUGAAAGGGAAGCGCUUAUGACCAGACUUGCGCCGGGUUGAUCAUCCAGUGUUCUCACUGGUGCACUCUGCCCGGCUCAGGCCAGCAUCGGUUCUGGAGGGGGCAUAAAGGCCGCGGGAACGUAGCUCCUCCGGGAGUGUUAUAGCCCGCAGUGUAAUAUCCCCACUGGGACCGAGGACCGCGCUCUGCAAGGAUGCUGGCGUAAUGGUCAUCAGCGA
rnacentral:rRNA from 1 species